rnacentral:rRNA from 1 species
UCCUACGGGAGGCAGCAGUGGGGAAUAUUGGACAAUGGGGGCAACCCUGAUCCAGCCAUGCCGCGUGUGUGAAGAAGGCCCUCGGGUUGUAAAGCACCUUCAGCGAGGAAGAACGCCUAGCGGUUAAUACCCGCUAGGAAAGACAUCACUCGCAGAAGAAGCACCGUCUAACUCCGUGCCAGCAGCCGCGGUAAUACGGAGGGUGCAAGCGUUAAUCGGAAUUACUGGGCGUAAAGCGCGCGUAGGUGGCUUGAUAAGCCGGUUGUGAAAGCCCCGGGCUCAACCUGGGAACGGCAUCCGGAACUGUCAAGCUAGAGUGCAGGAGAGGAAGGUAGAAUUCCCGGUGUAGCGGUGAAAUGCGUAGAGAUCGGGAGGAAUACCAGUGGCGAAGGCGGCCUUCUGGACUGACACUGACACUGAGGUGCGAAAGCGUGGGUAGCAAACAGGAUUAGAUACCCUGGUAGUCCACGCCGUAAACGAUGUCGACCAGCCGUUGGGUGCCUAGCGCACUUUGUGGCGAAGUUAACGCGAUAAGUCGACCGCCUGGGGAGUACGGCCGCAAGGUUAAAACUCAAAUGAAUUGACGG